GACGAAUGCUGGCGGCGUGCCUAAUACAUGCAAGUAGAACGCUGAAGGAGGAGCUUGCUUCUCUGGAUGAGUUGCGAACGGGUGAGUAACGCGUAGGUAACCUGCCUGGUAGCGGGGGAUAACUAUUGGAAACGAUAGCUAAUACCGCAUAAGAGUAGAUGUUGCAUGACAUUUGCUUAAAAGGUGCAAUUGCAUCACUACCAGAUGGACCUGCGUUGUAUUAGCUAGUUGGUGGGGUAACGGCUCACCUAGGCGACGAUACAUAGCCGACCUGAGAGGGUGAUCGGCCACACUGGGACUGAGACACGGCCCAGACUCCUACGGGAGGCAGCAGUAGGGAAUCUUCGGCAAUGGACGGAAGUCUGACCGAGCAACGCCGCGUGAGUGAAGAAGGUUUUCGGAUCGUAAAGCUCUGUUGUAAGAGAAGAACGAGUGUGAGAGUGGAAAGUUCACACUGUGACGGUAUCUUACCAGAAAGGGACGGCUAACUACGUG
rnacentral:rRNA from 1 species